GGGGAGAUGUGAGGGGCUCUGGGGGCUGCUCUUUUGGAGCUCCUGACCUUGGCAUGUGUGAGGUGGUGGUCUCCAGGUCAGAGAGCAGAGCAUCUGAAAGGAGAGGCCAUCAGAGUGAGAAGUUGAGAGGUCAAAGUAAGGGCAGAGACAAAGAGGGCCUUAAGUGAUCAGAAGAUAGUACUUCCAAGUGGGCAGUAUUUGAGGGCGGAAGGCAGCAUUAAGAGCAGAGGUCAAGAAUCAGAAGGAGACACAAGGCCAAACCAAGGCAGAGAAGUGGAAGAACAGCAAGGAAAAUUUAUGACCAGAACAUCCCAAAUGACUCAUCCUGGGCAUCACGUACAAACCCACCCGCCUGAUUUUUUUUAUUUUCCGAAUCUUCCCUAAUGCAGUCAAAAUUGGCUCUUCCCUGGAGCCAAGUUUGGCUCCACCCCAAAUUGCUCAAUUGGCUAGAUGCCUGGAACCCAGCUUCCUGAUUGGGUGCUCUUUUGCCAAGCCCGCUAAUUUCUCCCCCGACCUGAACAGGCCCACUCAGCUCCGGCCCACCUCCAGACCCAUGGGGAACCACCUUAUGCACCUCACUGACUCAGAACCAGGACCUUCUCUCCGAGACUUGGAAACAGACACAGUUAAACUGAAACCCAGGUACAAGCCCCAUGCAGACUAAGAAAACACUGCCAGGCAGCCAGACCCCAAGCAGCCCAGACUUGUUCCAGAUGGAGCCCCUUCCUGAGGUGUUGCUGGGCACAGAGAAGACAGCAAGCAAGACAGGCCUCCACCAGCCGCCAAGGAGUCAGAGGCUUCCCUGGACUGAGACCCUGAAAAGUCAGGGCGGAAAUGAGACGACAGGCUAUAGACAGGUCUGGACAGACACAGCAGUGCUGCAGCCACUGAACCAUGGUGUCCACCCAGACCUGAGUCCAACCAUGAGCACUUCAGCCUUAAGGACUAGCGGGCCACAGGAGCCCAUGUGCCGGCCCACAGGCCACGAUGUAAGGCGUUUACUGCCAUUUACAAGGCACAUUCCAUCUGCUGCCGGAACUGUGUACAAAGCAUCAUGUAAACUAGUUCAUGUAAAACGGUUUGCGUUGGGUAGAGUAUUAAAUAUUUGACAUAGACUUUAAUUUAUAUGUGAAAAUUUUAAAUUAAAAUGUAAAUUUCCUUACA